GAUGGACGCUGGCGGCGUGCUUAACACAUGCAAGUCGAACGGAAAGGCCCAAGCUUGCUUGGGUACUCGAGUGGCGAACGGGUGAGUAACACGUGGGUGAUCUGCCCUGCACUUCGGGAUAAGCCUGGGAAACUGGGUCUAAUACCGGAUAGGACGAUGGUUUGGAUGCCAUUGUGGAAAGUUUUUUCGGUGUGGGAUGAGCUCGCGGCCUAUCAGCUUGUUGGUGGGGUAAUGGCCUACCAAGGCGUCGACGGGUAGCCGGCCUGAGAGGGUGUACGGCCACAUUGGGACUGAGAUACGGCCCAGACUCCUACGGGAGGCAGCAGUGGGGAAUAUUGCACAAUGGGCGCAAGCCUGAUGCAGCGACGCCGCGUGGGGGAUGACGGCCUUCGGGUUGUAAACUCCUUUCGCUAGGGACGAAGCGUUUUUGUGACGGUACCUGGAGAAGAAGCACCGGCUAACUACGUG
rnacentral:rRNA from 1 species